rnacentral:rRNA from 1 species
UAGGGAAUAUUGCACAAUGGGGGAAACCCUGAUGCAGCCAUGCCGCGUGUGUGAAGAAGGCCUUCGGGUUGUAAAGCACUUUCAGUGGGGAGGAAAUACUGACGUUACCCACAGAAGAAGCACCGGCUAACUCCGUGCCAGCAGCCGCGGUAAUACGGAGGGUGCAAGCGUUAAUCGGAAUAACUGGGCGUAAAGGGCAUGUAGGCGGAAAGGCAAGCAAGAUGUGAAAGACCUGGGCUCAACCUGGGUUGGUCAUUUUGAACUACCUUUCUAGAGUAUUGCAGAGGGAGAUGGAAUUUCAGGUGUAGCGGUGGAAUGCGUAGAUAUCUGAAAGAACACCAGAGGCGAAGGCGGUCUCCUGGGCAAAUACUGACGCUGAGGUGCGAAAGCGUGGGGAGCAAACAGG